rnacentral:rRNA from 1 species
UACGAAGGGGGCUAGCGUUGUUCGGAAUUACUGGGCGUAAAGCGUGCGUAGGCGGUUCUCCAAGUCCGUUGUGAAAGCCCCGGGCUCAACCUGGGAAUGGCAGUGGAAACUAGGGGACUGGAAUCUGGCAGAGGGGGGUGGAAUGCCGCGUGUAGCAGUGAAAUGCGUAGAGAUGCGGCGGAACACCGAUGGCGAAGGCAGCCCCCUGGGCUGAGAUUGACGCUCAGGCACGAAAGCGUGGGGAGCAAACGGG